rnacentral:rRNA from 1 species
AGCGAACGCUGGCGGCAGGCCUAAUACAUGCAAGUCGAGCGCACCUUCGGGUGAGCGGCGGACGGGUGAGUAACGCGUGGGAACGUGCCCUUUGGUACGGGAUAACUGAGGGAAACUUCAGCUAAUACCGUAUGUGCCCUACGGGGGAAAGAUUUAUCGCCAUUGGAGCGGCCCGCGUUGGAUUAGGUAGUUGGUGAGGUAAAGGCUCACCAAGCCUACGAUCCAUAGCUGGUCUGAGAGGAUGAUCAGCCACACUGGGACUGAGACACGGCCCAGACUCCUACGGGAGGCAGCAGUAGGGAAUCUUGCGCAAUGGGCGAAAGCCUGACGCAGCCAUGCCGCGUGAAUGAUGAAGGUCUUAGGAUUGUAAAAUUCUUUCACCGGGGAAGAUAAUGACGGUACCCGGAGAAGAAGCCCCGGCUAACUUCGUGCCAGCAGCCGCGGUAAUACGAAGGGGGCUAGCGUUGCUCGGAAUUACUGGGCGUAAAGGGCGCGUAGGCGGACAGUUUAGUCAGAGGUGAAAGCCCAGGGCUCAACCUUGGAAUUGCCUUUGAUACUGGCUGUCUUGAGUUCGGGAGAGGUGAGUGGAAUGCCGAGUGUAGAGGUGAAAUUCGUAGAUAUUCGGCGGAACACCAGUGGCGAAGGCGACUCACUGGCCCGAUACUGACGCUGAGGCGCGAAAGCGUGGGGAGCAAACAGG